CCCGGUGAUCUAGCCAUGGGCAGGUUGAAGGUUGGGUAACACUAACUGGAGGACCGAACCGACUAAUGUUGAAAAAUUAGCGGAUGACCUGUGGCUGGGGGUGAAAGGCCAAUCAAACCGGGAGAUAGCUGGUUCUCCCCGAAAGCUAUUUAGGUAGCGCCUCGUGAACUCAUCUCCGGGGGUAGAGCACUGUUUCGGCUAGGGGGCCAUCCCGGCUUACCAACCCGAUGCAAACUGCGAAUACCGGAGAAUGUUAUCACGGGAGACACACGGCGGGUGCUAACGUCCGUCGUGAAGAGGGAAACAACCCAGACCGCCAGCUAAGGUCCCAAAGUCAUGGUUAAGUGGGAAACGAUGUGGGAAGGCCCAGACAGCCAGGAUGUUGGCUUAGAAGCAGCCAUCAUUUAAAGAAAGCGUAAUAGCUCACUGGUCGAGUCGGCCUGCGCGGAAGAUGUAACGGGGCUAAACCAUGCACCGAAGCUGCGGCAGCGACAUUUAGGUGUUGUUGGGUAGGGGAGCGUUCUGUAAGCCUGUGAAGGUGGCCUGUGAGGGUUGCUGGAGGUAUCAGAAGUGCGAAUGCUGACAUAAGUAACGAUAAAGCGGGUGAAAAGCCCGCUCGCCGGAAGACCAAGGGUUCCUGUCCAACGUUAAUCGGGGCAGGGUGAGUCGACCCCUAAGGCGAGGCCGA
rnacentral:rRNA from 1 species